rnacentral:rRNA from 1 species
GACGAACGCUGGCGGCGUGCUAAACACAUGCAAGUCGAACGGAAAGGCCCUGCUUUUGUGGGGUGCUCGAGUGGCGAACGGGUGAGUAACACGUGAGUAACCUGCCCUUGACUUUGGGAUAACUUCAGGAAACUGGGGCUAAUACCGGAUAGGAGCUCCUGCUGCAUGGUGGGGGUUGGAAAGUUUCGGCGGUUGGGGAUGGACUCGCGGCUUAUCAGCUUGUUGGUGGGGUAGUGGCUUACCAAGGCUUUGACGGGUAGCCGGCCUGAGAGGGUGACCGGCCACAUUGGGACUGAGAUACGGCCCAGACUCCUACGGGAGGCAGCAGUGGGGAAUAUUGCACAAUGGGCGGAAGCCUGAUGCAGCAACGCCGCGUGCGGGAUGACGGCCUUCGGGUUGUAAACCGCUUUCGCCUGUGACGAAGCGUGAGUGACGGUAAUGGGUAAAGAAGCACCGGCUAACUACGUGCCAGCAGCCGCGGUGAUACGUAGGGUGCGAGCGUUGUCCGGAUUUAUUGGGCGUAAAGGGCUCGUAGGUGGUUGAUCGCGUCGGAAGUGUAAUCUUGGGGCUUAACCCUGAGCGUGCUUUCGAUACGGGUUGACUUGAGGAAGGUAGGGGAGAAUGGAAUUCCUGGUGGAGCGGUGGAAUGCGCAGAUAUCAGGAGGAACACCAGUGGCGAAGGCGGUUCUCUGGGCCUUUCCUGACGCUGAGGAGCGAAAGCGUGGGGAGCGAACAGGCUUAGAUACCCUGGUAGUCCACGCUGUAAACGGUGGGUACUAGGUGUGGGGUCCAUUCCACGGGUUCCGUGCCGUAGCUAACGCUUUAAGUACCCCGCCUGGGGAGUACGGCCGCAAGGCUAAAACUCAAAGGAAUUGACGGGGCCCCGCACAAGCGGCGGAGCAUGCGGAUUAAUUCGAUGCAACGCGUAGAACCUUACCUGGGUUUGACAUGGAUCGGGAGUGCUCAGAGAUGGGUGUGCCUCUUUUGGGGUCGGUUCACAGGUGGUGCAUGCCUGUCGUCAGCUCGUGUCGUGAGAUGUUGGGUUAAGUCCCGCAACGAGCGCAACCCUUGUUCACUGUUGCCAGCACGUUAUGGUGGGGACUCAGUGGAGACCGCCGGGGUCAACUCGGAGGAAGGUGGGGAUGACGUCAAGUCAUCAUGCCCCUUAUGUCCAGGGCUUCACGCAUGCUGCAAUGGCUGGUACAGAGAGUGGCGAGCCUGUGAGGGUGAGCGAAUCUCGGAAAGCCGGUCUCAGUUCGGAUUGGGGUCUGCAACUCGACCUCAUGAAGUCGGAGUCGCUAGUAAUCGCAGAUCAGCAACGCUGCGGUGAAUACGUUCCCGGG